ensembl:lncRNA
UAGUGUUUUCUGCAGAUCCCCCCAGUCAGGACUUCCAGUGUCUUCUGAAAGGCUUGCUCAACAAAAAAAUGGAAAAGAGGAUGGACUGGCCAGAAUUGCUGGAUCACCCUUUCUGGACAAAAGUUCGAGAGGAGGAAGCUAAUGCAGAAGAAGGUAAAGAGGAGGAGGAUGAAGAAGGUGAAAAAAAUGGCUGUGUUAGCCACACCAGGGUGUGUGACUUUACUCCACCGGCAGAGGUAGAAAAGCUCCCUGACAGCCACUCAGUUAUCACACAGCCACCUUAUCGGAUGUCUAAGAAACUAAUUUCAUCACAUACCACUGCAUCCACUGACAAACCAUCUGACAGAAGGAUUGACAGGGAAGAAUCUGUUAAACUGACAUGCUAUGGAGACUUAACAAACAGUCAGCGUUUGAGAAGGGAGGAAGGAAACGAGAGAAGAGGAGAGGGCCAGGCAGAGACUGAAGACGAUCCCAAGCUACCUGGAGCCCUGGAGAUGAGCCACACUCUGCAGCCAAAUAAGUCAUUCACAUUAGACAAUGUUUCAGAGCUGAGGCCAAAGAGUGGUGUGGAUGAAGACAACACUGAGGCAAUUUUUCUGCUCAGCUCCUCUGCCAACUCAAGAAGGAACAACAGUACCUCUGACUGUCCAAACCAGAACUCUGCACCUCAGGUUGCUGUCACUGCCAGUACAGGCAGUAGCAUCACAUCCUCUGUGAAGGGACUUCUCCAUACUGACUCUGAUCUGACUAUUGCCCCAAUCAUUGACAAC